CCUGUGUCGGGGGACAGUGGAGCUGCCAGGACCUGGACUGUCCUAGAACCUGCUCUGUAGAGGGAGGCUCCCACAUCACCACUUUCGACGGGAAGCCCUUCACCUUCCACGGAGACUGCUCCUACACUCUGGCCAAGCAAUGCAAUGACAGUCAGUUCACAGUCUUGGGUGACAUUGUCAAGUGUGGAUUAACAGACACUGAGACCUGCUUGAAAGCUGUGACCCUGGCCAUCUCAGCAGGACAAACUGUGAUCAGCAUCAAGCCCUGUGGAAGUGUGUUUGUGAAUGGCAUCCUUUCUCAGCUCCCACUCUCUACAG